rnacentral:rRNA from 1 species
GAUGAACGCUGGCGGCGUGCCUAAUACAUGCAAGUCGAACGAGUUCUCGUUGAUGAUCGGUGCUUGCACCGAGAUUCAACAUGGAACGAGUGGCGGACGGGUGAGUAACACGUGGGUAACCUGCCCUUAAGUGGGGGAUAACAUUUGGAAACAGAUGCUAAUACCGCAUAGAUCCAAGAACCGCAUGGUUCUUGGCUGAAAGAUGGCGUAAGCUAUCGCUUUUGGAUGGACCCGCGGCGUAUUAGCUAGUUGGUGAGGUAAUGGCUCACCAAGGCGAUGAUACGUAGCCGAACUGAGAGGUUGAUCGGCCACAUUGGGACUGAGACACGGCCCAAACUCCUACGGGAGGCAGCAGUAGGGAAUCUUCCACAAUGGACGCAAGUCUGAUGGAGCAACGCCGCGUGAGUGAAGAAGGCUUUCGGGUCGUAAAACUCUGUUGUUGGAGAAGAAUGGUCGGCAGAGUAACUGUUGUCGGCGUGACGGUAUCCAACCAGAAAGCCACGGCUAACUACGUGCCAGCAGCCGCGGUAAUACGUAGGUGGCAAGCGUUAUCCGGAUUUAUUGGGCGUAAAGCGAGCGCAGGCGGUUUUUUAAGUCUGAUGUGAAAGCCCUCGGCUUAACCGAGGAAGCGCAUCGGAAACUGGGAAACUUGAGUGCAGAGGAGGACAGUGGAACUCCAUGUGUAGCGGUGAAAUGCGUAGAUAUAUGGAAGAACACCAGUGGCGAAGGCGGCUGUCUGGUCUGUAACUGACGCUGAGGCUCGAAAGCAUGGGUAGCGAACAGGAUUAGAUACCCUGGUAGUCCAUGCCGUAAACGAUGAAUGCUAGGUGUUGGAGGGUUUCCGCCCUUCAGUGCCGCAGCUAACGCAUUAAGCAUUCCGCCUGGGGAGUACGACCGCAAGGUUGAAACUCAAAGGAAUUGACGGGGGCCCGCACAAGCGGUGGAGCAUGUGGUUUAAUUCGAAGCAACGCGAAGAACCUUACCAGGUCUUGACAUCUUUUGAUCACCUGAGAGAUCAGGUUUCCCCUUCGGGGGCAAAAUGACAGGUGGUGCAUGGUUGUCGUCAGCUCGUGUCGUGAGAUGUUGGGUUAAGUCCCGCAACGAGCGCAACCCUUAUGACUAGUUGCCAGCAUUUAGUUGGGCACUCUAGUAAGACUGCCGGUGACAAACCGGAGGAAGGUGGGGAUGACGUCAAAUCAUCAUGCCCCUUAUGACCUGGGCUACACACGUGCUACAAUGGAUGGUACAACGAGUUGCGAGACCGCGAGGUCAAGCUAAUCUCUUAAAGCCAUUCUCAGUUCGGACUGUAGGCUGCAACUCGCCUACACGAAGUCGGAAUCGCUAGUAAUCGCGGAUCAGCACGCCGCGGUGAAUACGUUCCCGGGCCUUGUACACACCGCCCGUCACACCAUGAGAGUUUGUAACACCCGAAGCCGGUGGCGUAACCCUUUUAGGGAGCGAGCCGUCUAAGGUGGGACAAAUGAUUAGGGUGAAG